CUCCCCCAAGGAUUUCCUAUUUUUGAACAGCUGCUUUCUUCUGGCAGGGGAUCUGUCUCCAUCAGGUGAACUAUGGCCGUAAGCAGGAGGUACCAGAGCCCCAGAAGCAGAUUAAUGGAGCCCCGUGGCUUGUUAGGAAGGAGCAGAGUGUGUCUGGAGCACACUUUCCUUUUCACGUGGGAGUGUAGCAGCAGCGCCGCUGAAGCUUUCACUCACACAGCUCCCAAGGAAAAAUCCUGCAGCCUCUUCAGAACUGUGGUUUUCAAAGCUGGGAUGUCCAAGAUCAAGGCACUUGAGGAGUUAGGAUGUGGCGUGUACUGAUUUUAGUACAUCUUCAAGAUGGCAUGGCAUCUCUUGUUCACCCAAGCGAAAGGAGGGAGUGAGCCGAGCGUCCUGGCACUCAGAAGCCAAGCCCAAUUAUCAGUUGGGAUUCCGUCCCCGGAAAGACAGUAACCAAGACUGAGACAACGUUGCCUUGACUCCAGCUAUGCACCCAACCCCUCCAGCCCUUUCUCCAGCUGUCUUGGUGUUAAAAGCUGGGUGAGACAGCAUUUCCUGAGGCUUGGUGGUAGGAACACGGAAUCAGUGAAGCAGCAGAGUCUGACAAUCGGGAAUUCGGACAAGGGCCAGCACAGACAGCUCAUUUCCGCGUUUCUACAUCCGGGACCUAGGUUAGAAGACGCGGAAGGGGCGGGAAGAUAGUGGUGGGUCACUGGAUAGCGCCUAAACAUACGUCCCCACGACUCCACAGACUGUACGCUAAGACUGUUUGGAUUUGCUUACAGCCCCAUUCCUACAGAACACGCCAGACUCUCACCCAUGGCUUGUGAAAUAGAGGUCAUGGGAGAGUAUUGCUUACUGGCUUGCUCAUCCUGCUUCCUGAUACCGGCAUGUUCUCAGCUAAGGGCUUUCCUUUCCAAAUAACUCUAGCUUGUGUCAAGUUGUCAAAAACUAACCAGCACAUAGAGGGACUCAAUCUGCACCUGUUCAUCGUUUAUAAACAAAUAUUUUAGUUUUUGUUUCUUUGUUUUUUCGAGACAGAGUUUCUCUGUGUAGCCCUGACUGUCCUAGACCUUGCUUUGUAGAUUAGGCUGGCCUCAAGUUUACAGAAUCCCCCUGCUUGUGCCUGCUGAGUGCUAGGAUUAAAGGUGUGUUCUACCGUGCCUAGCAAGUGCCGUAGUUCUGCCAGAGCUUAUCUUUGGAUAAAAUGAAAUCUUCCCGUAUUCAAUAACAGGGUACACUGCCCAGGCCUUGUUUACUUGUUUCACAGCUCUGUUUUGUGAGUUUGUUUUCUGGCAGCCAUCUCAAUUCAAGAAUGGAAGGGACUAGAAGAAGAAUGGAGGGCUGGAGGAAAGAUAAAGCCAGGAAAUUGCUUUAUUUUCCUGCUCUGUACUUGAUCUCCUCUGGGGCGCCAAAUGCUGCUGGGCAGAGACAGAACCACUUCAGCUGGGUAGUGGUGGAGCACAUCUUUAAUCCCAGCACUCUAGAAGGCAGAGGCAGGUAGAUCUCUGUGAAUUUGAGGCCAAUCUGAUCUAUAAAGCAAGUUCCUAGACAAUCAGGGUUACACAGAGAAACCCUGUCUUGAAAAACCAAAAGCAACCAACCAGACAAACACCCCUAUAAUGCCGCAAUCUAGCUCUUCCCCACCCCCUCUGGCUUUGAGGGUAAGACUGUGCAGCUGUGGAUCAUCUUCUGAAGUUAUGUCAUCUCCUGUUUCACUUGUUUUAUUAAUCACAUGUGUAAAUAAUGUGUAUCACAGUCUAGCUGUUCAGCAUACCUAUGCCUAGAGAUAGUGUCUCUCACCUGGAGACACAGCUACUUAAGAGAAUGAGGUGGGAAGAAACCUUGGAGCCAGGAGUUUGGGGCAACAGAGUAAGACCUGCCUCAAGGAAAACCACACACCAGAAAAAAAGACCACAGACUGUUGCUAUGGACCUAUAAUUUCAGCACUAAGAAAGUGAAGGUGGAGGCUGGAGAGAUGGCUCAGAGGUUAAAAGCAUUGGCUGCUCUUCCAAAGGACCUGAGUUCAAUUCCCAGCAACCACAUGGUGGCUCACAACCAUCUAAAAUAAGAUCUGAUAUCUUCUUCUGGCAUGCAGGUGUAUAUGCAGAUAGAACAUUGUAUACAUAAUAAAUAAAAUAUUAAAAAAAAAAGUGAAGGCAAGAGAAUCAAGAUCAAGGCUAACCUCAACUACAUAGUGAAAGCCCAUCUUUUUUUUUUUAUAUUGAUUUCCCUUUCAGGCUCAGUGUUUAAACAAUUAGUCCCCAGCUUGUGACACUGUUCUGAGGCUAUGAAACUUUUGGGAGGUAGAACAAUGAUAAUGGAUGUGCGGGUAUGGCACUGAGGAUUUUUUGUUUUGUAUUGUCUGUGUUUUUAGGUUUUUGAGACAGGGUUGCUCUGUGUAGCUCUGGCUGUCCUAGAAUUCUGGACAUUCAGUCUGUCUAGAAUUCAGUCUGUAGACCAGGCUGGCCUUGGACUCAGAGAUUCAUUUGCCCUCUUUUUUUCUGGGGGGGGGGGGUUAUAGCCUCACUUCAUCACACACACACACACACACACACACACACACACACACACAGAGUCUGCUCUGUUAUCCACUGAAAUGUGAAAAAGUGAAAAGUCCCAGCCACAUGUUCCUGCCACCAUGGAGUCAAGCUGUCACCAAACCAUGAGCCAAAAUAAACCCUUCCCUCUGUGGUGGUUUGAAUAGGAAUGGCCCCCAUAGACACAUGGGUUUGAAUGCUUGGCUGAUAGGGAGUGGCACUGUUAGGAGGUGUGGCCUUGUUCGAGGAAGUGUGUCACCGUGGGGCCAGGCUGGCCAGGCUUUGACGUCUCCUGUGCUCAAGCUAUGCCCAUCGAGGAAAUAGUCUUCUUCUGGCUGCCUUCGCAUCAAGAUGUACAACUCUCAGCUCCUUCUCUAGCAGCAUGUCUGCCUAGACGCUGCCAUGCUUCCUACCAUAAUGAUAAUGGACUAAAUCUCUGCAACUGUAAGCCAA